GCAUGCAGGUGGUUCAUUAAGUCAGAUGUGAAAGCCCGGGGCUCAACCUCGGAACUGCAUUUGAAACUGGUGAACUAGAGUACUGUAGAGGGGGGUAGAAUUUCAGGUGUAGCGGUGAAAUGCGUAGAGAUCUGAAGGAAUACCAGUGGCGAAGGCGGCCCCCUGGACAGAUACUGACACUCAGAUGCGAAAGCGUGGGGAGCAAACAGGAUUAGAUACCCUGGUAGUCCACGCCGUAAACGAUGUCUACUUGGAGGUUGUGGCCUUGAGCCGUGGCUUUCGGAGCUAACGCGUUAAGUACACCGCCUGGGGAGUACGGUUGCAAGAUUAAAACUCAAAUGAAUUGACGGGGGCCCGCACAAGCGGUGGAGCAUGUGGUUUAAUUCGAUGCAACGCGAAGAACCUUACCUACUCUUGACAUCCAGAGAAGCCAGCGGAGACGCAGGUGUGCCUUCGGGAGCUCUGAGACAGGUGCUGCAUGGCUGUCGUCAGCUCGUGUUGUGAAAUGUUGGGUUAAGUCCCGCAACGAGCGCAACCCUUAUCCUUGUUUGCCAGCGAGUAAUGUCGGGAACUCCAGGGAGACUGCCGGUGAU
rnacentral:rRNA from 1 species